rnacentral:ncRNA from 1 species
ACCCGAUAGCCAGCCGGGCGCCAGACCGCGGCCGGACGGUUUCAUACCGUCCGGCCGCGGUCGUUCCCGUCGUGGACGCGCCUGAAGGGACGGGCGUCGUACGGUAGGU